rnacentral:rRNA from 1 species
UUUAGUAAGAAUUUAAUUUUGGUUCCGAUUGAACGUUAUUCAGUAGUUUUAAGACAUGCAAAUCAUUAUUUCUGAUAGUAAAUUAUAAAAUUUUUUAUUCUAAGAAAUAAGGUGUAGAGGUGAGUAUAGUAAAUAAGAUACCCUAUAAGUCUUCAGAAAUUGGAGAUAAUUAAUCAGAAAAGAAAAUAAAUUUAGUCUUUUAUAAAAUUAUGAGUAUUUUCGUAUUAUAUUUAUAAAAUAUUAUAAUCAAUAUUAAUUAUAGAUAUAAUUAUUACUAAAAUUUUUUAUUUAUAGAAUUAUUUUAAUUUAUGACUAAUUAAGCAAAUUAAUAAUUUUGAAUAUGAAUUUUAAUAAUAAAUGAUUAAGAUAAAAUUAGCUAUUUUUUAUUUAAAAAGGAAAUUUUCUGCUUUAGGAUUCUAUUUACUUUGAUUAUGAUAGUUGGUAGUGGUAAAGGCCUACCAAGUCUACGAUCAAAAGCCAAGUUUGACAGAACAUAUGGCCACAUUGGGAGUGAAAAUACCCCAAGUAAUAUUUAAUUACCUGCAGUCAAGAAUAUUAGUCAAUGCUCGCAAGAGUGAACUAGCUAACUGAAAUCAUAAAUGUGUCAUUUAUGAUAAGGUAAGAGAAAAUAAUGAUAUUAUCUUACUAUUAGUGUCGUCUAAAACUGGUGCCAGAAGACUCGGUAAGACCAGAGACGCAAACGUUAGUCAUCAUAAUCAGGCGUAAAGGGUUUGUAGGCGGCUUUAAAUAAUAUAAUUUAAUUUUUAAAAUAGCUAAAAAAUAUUUAAUUUUUUAUAGAUUAUAUUAGAAUUAAAGCUAGAAUCUAAUAGAGGGUGAGCUGAACAACAUUUUAAUUAGGAUUAACAACUAUACAAAUAAUUUGGAGUACUAAAGGUUAAAGCUAUUUAUCCACUAAAGAUUGACGCUCAGAAACGAAGGAGAGGAUCGAAAACAAGAUUAGAGACCUAAUUAUCCCUCUCAGUCAACGAUGAAUGGUAGUUGCUAAUUUUAAUAAUUAGUUAUAUAUAUUAAAUUUUUAUUUAUUAUAUAAUUAUAUUAUCAAUUUUAUAUUAGUGACGAGGUUAACACGAUAACCAUUCCGCCUUGUGAGUAAGACUGCAAAGUUGAAAACAAAAAAAUUAGUCGGUCUUGAAGCAAACGAAGUGAAGCAUGUUAUUUAAUACGAUAAUCCGCGUAAAAUCUUACCAGUUCUUGUAUAAUUUACUUUAAUUCAAAUGAAUUAUUGCAAAGAAUAUUACAAAAUAAUAUUUUAUUACAGGUGUUGCAUGGCUGUCGUCAGUCCGUGUCGUGAGAAGUUUGGUUAAAUCCGUGAACGGACAAAAUCCCUAGUGUUAAUUUAAACAUAACAUAUAAUAGCGUUCAUAAGAUGCUAGUUGGGGCUAAGACAAGUCAUUAUGGCCCUCAUGUUCUGGGCUAUAGACGUGCCACAAAAACUUUUACAAAGUGAUGCAAUUCCAUUUCUACAAAGAAUACUAAGGAGGAGCUAAUCAUUAAAAAAAGUUAACUAUUAAAUUAGUUGAAUUGUCAUCUGAAACUCGGUGACAUGAAAAAGGAAUUUCGAGUAAUCGUUGAUCAUUACGCAACGGUGAAGUAUGCAUUCAGGAUGAACUAACCGUCUGUCGCUGGGAAGGAGCUUAAUCUGAAGGAAGGUGUGCAUUGUUCAAAUUUUUCUUUUUUAUAAUCUAUUUGAUACAAAGUAUAUAUUUUAUAUUAGUAUUCAAAUAAUAAUUAUAAGUACUAAAAAUACUUAAUUAAUUAGUACAAUAACAAAUUCUAAUUAAUUCUAAACAAAUUUUUUAAAUUUCUGUAUUAGUUUAAAAUUAGAUUAUUCUGAAAUGAAUAUAUAUUAUACGCUUAAUAAUUAUAUGUACUAUAUUAUUAUAUAUCGGUAACAGAUAAAAAAAUAAUAUAGAAUUACUGAUCUAAUUAAAAAUAUAAACGUGAUUAUUAAGAAAACUGAACCCAACGAAUUCAAUUGAGUAACAUCUCAAAAGUCAUAGCAAGGUAGCCGUACUGGAAGGUGCUGCUGAAAAAUAAAACGA